rnacentral:lncRNA from 1 species
GCAAACCAUCAAUGUUUUAUAUAAAAUCCGAAACACCAAAAUAAACACUGACUUUGAGUAGCGAUUGCUCUCCCCUCACAAAUCCUAAUGAAACCAAACUAGUGACCUUGAAAAGAGCUUGAAGUUAGCUCUUCGAUCCAAAAACCCUGAUCUGAAAAAAAAAACCCCUCUCAUUUCUUAACCUUCUUCUCCUUUAACCCUAAUUCUCUCCUCUUUCAAACCCUAGCCUCUGAAUUUCUUCAAUCUUCCAUCUUGGAUCCAGAAUUGGCUCCUUCCGUUUGUCAUGGACACAAAAUACAGACUUGAAAUCUAACAAGAAGUUCAAGAAGAAGUGACAGAACUAGAUUAAACAGAUGAGUACAAGAACAACACCAGAAAGGUGAGCUAGAACUCCAAGAGAUGUG